UAUGGGAGGCACCACUGGGGAAUUUUUGACAAUGGGGGCAACCCUGAUCCACCCAUUCCGCGUGAGUGAAGAAGGCCUUCGGGUUGUAAAGCUCUUUCGGCAGGAAAGAAACGGUGUGGGCCAAUACCCUGCAUCAAUGACGGUACCCCAAGAAGAAGCACCGGCUAAAUACGUGCCAGCAGCCGCGGUAAUACGUAGGGUGCGAGCGUUUUUCUGAAUUACUGGGCGUAAAGCGCGCGCAGGCGGUUUUUUAAGACAGAUGUGAAAUCCCCGGGCUUAACCCNGGAAAUGCGCUUGUGACUGCACGACUAGAGUGUGGCAGAGGGGGGUGGAAUUCCCCGUGUAGCAGUGAAAUGCGUAGAGAUGUGGAGGAACACCGAUGGCGAAGGCAGCCCCCUGGGUUAACACUGACGCUCAUGCACGAAAGCGUGGGUAGCAAACACGAUUAGAUACCCUGGUAGUCCACGCCCUAAACGAUGCCAAAUAGGUGUUGGGGAAGGAGACUUCCUCAGUACCGUAGCUAACGCGUGAAGUUGUCCGCCUGGAUAC
rnacentral:rRNA from 1 species